GGGUCGGACUCCCGGGGCCAUGGGCGGAAUGCAGUACCCUCAGCAGCAGAUGCCACCUCAGUAUGGACAGCAAGGUGUGAGUGGUUACUGCCAACAGGGCCAACAGCCAUAUUACAGCCAGCAGCCGCAGCCCCCUCACCUCCCGCCCCAGGCGCAGUAUCUGCCGUCCCAGUCCCAGCAGAGGUACCAGCCGCAGCAGGUGAGCACAGCGCACUGCCCCGCAGGCCCUGUUUUCUCCACCAAGGCAGACCCGGCUCUGAAUCGUCUUCCUGUCCUUUAUUAAAAAUUAUGUUCUUGGUGGAAAAAAAAUUAGUUUUGAGAAAAUGCAUAACUGUAACCUAAUCUAACUCCAUCUCUCCCUCCGUCUUUUCCCCUUUUGAGAUUGGAGGGUGAGAAGAAUGACUGGUUAAAUAGCUGCUUGCAUUACUGCUUAGUGGCAGCAGAAAGUGUCAGUCAUUGCUUGUUCCCUGUCAUUUGUGUUCUGAACCUUUCAGGAAAGCACUCUGCCACUUGUUAAGGCUUAUUCAGGAGAAGGAUUUUAUCAAUCAUUGAAUCCUUCUAGUUGGCACGUGCAUGGUAUUUUUAUCUUGACCUUUGUUUUGUUUUGUUUUAAUGGUAAGUGCUACUGUGUGAAAACAUUGUUGCCUUUGUGUCAUUCUCUUUAAACUAGCUUAUAAGUAGAUAUUCACUUCAGUUGCAAUAUAUUAAAAUACUAAUUGGAAUUAUGUACUUUAAAUGUAUCAAGCAGUUUAUAGUUUAAAUUAGUCUCAUUAAAUACUCCUUUAGGUUACUGGGUUAUGUAUUUUAGCUUACAGAAUU
rnacentral:sRNA from 1 species